rnacentral:rRNA from 1 species
AGCGAACGCUGGCGGCAGGCCUAACACAUGCAAGUCGAACGAACCUUUCGGGGUUAGUGGCGGACGGGUGAGUAACACGUGGGAACGUGCCUUUAGGUUCGGAAUAACUCAGGGAAACUUGUGCUAAUACCGAAUGUGCCCUUCGGGGGAAAGAUUUAUCGCCUUUAGAGCGGCCCGCGUCUGGUUAGCUAGUUGGUUGAGGUAAUGGCACACCAAGGCGACGAUCAGUAGCUGGUCUGAGAGGAUGAUCAGCCACAUUGGGACUGAGACACGGCCCAAACUCCUACGGGAGGGAGCAGUGGGGAAUCUUGCGGAAUGGGCGAAAGCCUGACGCAGCCAUGCCGCGUGAAUGAUGAAGGUCUUAGGAUUGUAAAAUUCUUUCACCGGGGACGAUAAUGACGGUACCCGGAGAAGAAGCCCCGGCUAACUUCGUG